GCUUAAGGUCUCUGGCAGUUCAGAAAAGAUAGUCCUUUCUGUGAAGAGCUUGGUCUGUAAAUAUGAGAACUUGCCUCGUGGAUGUGCCUGCCAACAGGUAGCAGCUGCCUUUGAGGGUUAAGGUUAUUGAUUCUGAUACAGCAACAUCACAGUGUGGGUGGAAGAAGAGCUCCGGAAGAAUUGAUCAUCUCAGAGAGGAAAAAAGAAAAUUAUUUUUACCCCCGGGAAAGAUAUUUAAUUUUGUCUGGUCUUUUUAUUUGACAGUAUUUCUGUUCAGUUAAUUAUAAUUCCAAAAACAUGCUGUUAUAAAUUAUUUGCAAUAUAUGUUCUUCAGAUUUCAUUUGUCACCCUCUGAAAAUGUAUUGAACUAAUAAUGAAUGGGCACUCCGAUCCCAUAAAUAGAAAUAGCUGGAGUCAGAAAUAUUUAGCUUCCAAUCCAUAUUUUGGAGAAUUUGUUGAGUUCCUUGGAGAGUUCUGAUCUAGCUGCUAUGUACAAUGCCACAGAUAUUCUUCCAGUGGCACUGGAGAUCAUUAUAAGCAGCAAGGUUAAUUUGUGAGAGAAAGAGGAGAAAGCUGAUGCUAAGGCCUGAUGCUUCAGGGAAAACAAAACAAAAAGAGGUGAUCAGUUAGAGACUUUUUCUUAUGAUAGCUGUAGUCUCUAGUGUCCUCUAGUGUGAUUGCUGUCAUUUAAGAAGCAUGCAUCAUGUUAGAAUAAAAGGUAGAAUAAACACAUUCUUGCUAUUUCACUG